GAUGAACGCUGGCGGCGUGCUUAACACAUGCAAGUCGAACGGGAAACCUUUUAUUGAAGCUUCGGCAGAUUUAGCUGGUUUCUAGUGGCGGACGGGUGAGUAACGCGUGGGUAACCUGCCUUGUACAGGGGGAUAACAGUCAGAAAUGACUGCUAAUACCGCAUAAGCGCACAGGACCGCAUGGUCCGGUGUGAAAAACUCCGGUGGUAUAAGAUGGACCCGCGUUGGAUUAGCUAGUUGGCAGGGUAACGGCCUACCAAGGCGACGAUCCAUAGCCGGCCUGAGAGGGUGAACGGCCACAUUGGGACUGAGACACGGCCCAGACUCCUACGGGAGGCAGCAGUGGGGAAUAUUGCACAAUGGGGGAAACCCUGAUGCAGCGACGCCGCGUGAAGGAAGAAGUAUCUCGGUAUGUAAACUUCUAUCAGCAGGGAAGAAAAUGACGGUAC
rnacentral:rRNA from 1 species